AUCCUGGCUCAGAUUGAACGCUGGCGGCAUGCCUUACACAUGCAAGUCGAACGGCAGCACGGGGGCAACCCUGGUGGCGAGUGGCGAACGGGUGAGUAAUACAUCGGAACGUGCCCUGAAGUGGGGGAUAACGUAGCGAAAGUUACGCUAAUACCGCAUAUUCUGUGAGCAGGAAAGCAGGGGACCGCAAGGCCUUGUGCUUUAGGAGCGGCCGAUGUCGGAUUAGCUAGUUGGUGAGGUAAAGGCUCACCAAGGCGACGAUCCGUAGCGGGUCUGAGAGGAUGAUCCGCCACACUGGGACUGAGACACGGCCCAGACUCCUACGGGAGGCAGCAGUGGGGAAUUUUGGACAAUGGGCGCAAGCCUGAUCCAGCCAUGCCGCGUGAGUGAAGAAGGCCUUCGGGUUGUAAAGCUCUUUCGGCGGGGAAGAAAUGGCACUUUCUAAUACAGAGUGUUGAUGACGGUACCCGCAUAAGAAGCACCGGCUAACUACGUG
rnacentral:rRNA from 1 species